ACUCUGGGCUUGCCUUCUCCCAAUGAGCCUCUGCUAGGGUGUGUAUGGAUAAUACUGGUACAUCGGGUGGACGCAGUUGUCAUGAGUCCCAUGGAGAACUCUUGUUGCUGUGCUUGUGUUCUCUGAUUACUGAGUCACGAUCCUGCGCAGCCAGGCAGGACAAAGAACAACAGUUUCCAUUAUGCUGACUUAUGUGGCACUAGAGGAGAGAAACCGAACCCAUCUCUGCCUACACAGUUUGGAAAGAUGGUCAAACUGUGCGGAUGGCGGAUUCAUCGGGAGGUCUCGGCUGCUUACGUACUGAAUAAAGCGAUAC